ACGAACGCUGGCGGCGUGCUUAACACAUGCAAGUCGAGCGGAAAGGCUCCUUCGGGGGUACUCGAGCGGCGAACGGGUGAGUAACACGUGAGUAAUCUGCCCUUCACUUGGGGAUAACCUCCGGAAACGGUGGCUAAUACCCGAUACGACCAGCCCACGCAUGUGGUGUUGGUGGAAAGUUUUUCGGUGGGGGAUGUGCUCGCGGCCUAUCAGCUUGUUGGUGGGGUAAUGGCCUACCAAGGCUUCGACGGGUAGCCGGCCUGAGAGGGUGACCGGCCACACUGGGACUGAGACACGGCCCAGACUCCUACGGGAGGCAGCAGUGGGGAAUAUUGGACAAUGGGCGGAAGCCUGAUCCAGCAACGCCGCGUGAGGGAUGACGGCCUUCGGGUUGUAAACCUCUUUCAGCACAGACGAAGCCUUCGGGUGACGGUAUGUGCAGAAGAAGCACCGGCCAACUACGU
rnacentral:rRNA from 1 species